UCCCUGGUGGUCUAGUGGUUAAGACUCAGUGCUUUCACUGCUGUGGCCUGGGUUCAUUCCCUGGUAUGGGAA
rnacentral:tRNA from 1 species